AAAAUUUACAGAAAGGGAGAAAUCCAGCUGCAAGAAUACUAUGCAAUUUACUACAGCAAAGCAUUUUACAUCGGAAAGGCAGUGGAGAAACGAGACAAUGGGAUACACUUCAAGUUCCUGCAGAUGACUGGUGCAUCCCAGUUUUGGUGGCCCAAAAAGUCACGAUCUGACAGAGAACAAGAAACAAUAUCGGAGAUGGAAAGGACUUUUCA